CCUCCUUAUCCAGAUGCUCCUGCUCCUCUUCUUGGACCUCUGCAGACUCCGGAGCUGCUGAUGGGCUGGACACAGGAGGCUAGGGGGGGAAAAAGAACAUUUAUAUCAAGUAGUUUUUAUUGCUUCAAUGUAUAUACAGAAAGACCCCGCAGAGUCAAAGCCAUUCAUCACGGACUGAAGCUGUGUGUCUCCCUCUUGUGGUUACAUGAGCGACAGGAGCAACAAAUCAAAACUGAGAUGGCCUCAACUUUUUUCUGCAUCAGCCUUUCAUGGAUUCAUCUGUGCGGAGGGUCAAGGUGAGUUCAAGUCAACUCCUGGUAAUGAUCGUGACAGAAUACUGCGGGUUGGUGGUAUUAAAGAGGGACACCAAAGGUACACAGUGGGAGGUUACGGUGCCAGGUAACAGCACUCGGAUCCAAUGAUCUGGAUAAUCCUGACCCUGAACUGUGAGCUUUACACUGGCUCGAAACACCCCACUGACCUCAGCCCGGAUACGGUUACAGCCCCGUGAAGGAUUUCUCCAAGGCUCUCCUUCAGUGUUCAACAACAGCAGGUACAUAAAUAGCACCUUUGUGCCCUCAAUCCUCAGCAAACAAUGGCAUGCUCCAGUAAAGUGGGACUUUAACUGGUAAUUAUCACUACGCAACAUCAGUGUCAGACUAAACUUUGACAUGGCACACUGGCACUAAAACCAUGCAACACUAAGCACAGUGUUUAGAGGGGAUACACUGUAUUGUCUAAACCUUGACACUAAUGUAAUGCAAUGUAAAUGAGAAAAAGUAUAUAUAGAAAAAACAUACAACAAUUAGAAUUAUAACUUCAUAUGGAUUUUUUCACAUAUACACAUGCACCAGGCUGCAAAAACCUUUCUCAGUUGUAUCACAUUGUUUAAAUAAAGUAAAUUCAAUGCAGUUCAACUAAUAAAAAUGCAAAAUUAAGUCUAUAUCCUUUGCACAAGCUAAUAAAUCCAAGAGGGAAGCCCUGGUGAAGUCCAACACCCACGGUAAUGAGUCUGAUUUAUUUAAUCCAAGCCAAGCUCUUACUGUGGUGGAACAGAGGUUGAAUACCUCACGAAAACUACAACCCACAAAGAGGCAUGUGGUUGAAUGUCUUUUCCUACAAAACUCACAUAGAUGGGUUGGGCAAACUCCCAUGUGCCCUGAGACAGCCCUGAGAGGAUAUAGGGCUGAACUGCAAUCCUGAAUCCAAGGAUUGUCCAAGGGACACAUGAUUCUGUCCAUCACCCUGACAUAGACCUGAGGCCUUGAGAGUGGCAAUCUACCACCCCAGUUUGCCUUUCCUGAUUAUGAUUAGACAUAUCUUGGCACAAUCUGCUGAGUUUUUGUCAUUUCUAAGGUGAAGUUUGUGGUUCUGUUGAAUGACAACUAAUGUUUGGGCUUUUUGCACUCAAAACCUGUUGCUUUUGACUGUUUUCAGUUCUAUGUCAGUGUAUCUGAUAAACUGACAGCUCAAUAGUGUCUCAUCAUCCCUUGAUAAAGUU